rnacentral:rRNA from 1 species
AUACUCGGUUAUGAGACCGGCUAACGGGUGCGGAACACGUACGCAACCUUCCCAAAACUGGUGAAUAGCCCUCCGAAAGGAGGAUUAAUACACCGUAACUUAAUGAAGUGGCAUCACUUUAUUAAUAUAGCUCCGGCGGUUUUGGAUGGGCGUGCGCCUGAUUAGGUAGUUGGCGGGGUAACGGCCCACCAAGCCUACGAUCAGUAACUGGUGUGAGAGCACGACCAGUCACACGGGCACUGAGACACGGGCCCGACUCCUACGGGAGGCAGCAGUAAGGAAUAUUGGUCAAUGGACGCAAGUCUGAACCAGCCAUGCCGCGUGAAGGAUGACGGCCCUCUGGGUUGUAAACUUCUUUUAUCUGGGACGAAAAAAGAUCAUUCUUGAUCACUUGACGGUACCAGAGGAAUAAGCACCGGCUAACUCCGUGCCAGCAGCCGCGGUAAUACGGAGGGUGCAAGCGUUAUCCGGAUUUACUGGGUUUAAAGGGUGCGUAGGUGGGUCUGUAAGUCAGUGGUGAAAUCUCCGAGCUUAACUCGGAAACUGCCAUUGAUACUAUAGGUCUUGAAUUAUCUGGAGGUGAGCGGAAUAUGUCAUGUAGCGGUGAAAUGCUUAGAUAUGACAUAGAACACCAAUUGCGAAGGCAGCUCACUACGGAUCGAUUGACACUGAGGCACGAAAGCGUGGGGAUCAAACAGGAUUAGAUACCCUGGUAGUCCACGCCCUAAACGAUGG